GACGAACGCUGGCGGCGUGCCUAAUACAUGCAAGUAGAACGCAGUUGCGAACGGGUGAGUAACGCGUAGGUAACUGCCUCAUAGCGGGGGAUAACUAUUGGAAACGAUAGCUAAUACCGCAUACUGUGAGAUGGACCUGCGUUGUCUUAGCUAGUUGGUGAGGUAAAGGCUAACCAAGGCGACGAUACAGAGCAGACCGGGGAGGGUGAUCGGCAAGACUGGGACGGAGACACGGCACAUACUCCUACGGUAUGCAGCAGUAGGGAAUCUGCGGCAAUGGACGGAAGUCUGACCGAGCAACGCGGCGUGAGUGAGGAAGGUUUUCGGAUCGUAAAGCUCUGUUGUUAGAGAAGCGGUAGCUAACCAGAAAGGGACGGCUAACGACGUGCCAGCAGCCGCGGUAAUUC
rnacentral:rRNA from 1 species